AAAGCAAAUGAAAGGAAAUGAUUUCCAACAUUCUUUUAUUGAACAAAUUGAACAUUGAAUUGAAUAUAACCGGCCCCACUAAAAACAGAACGACAAUUGAUAUUUUCUGCUGACAUUUUCUUUCAACUAACACAAAAAACCUCUGAGUGUCUUUUGUGAUAUGAUGCAACCUUUCGCGAUAUGGUUAUUGCGCCAGAUGAUAUAUAAAAAAACGAUAUAUAGUGCAGCCCUAAUAGCACUGUCAUGUGUCCCCUUGUGAUCUCAAGAUAAAAUAGAGCUGCAUGAAGUGGGUCUUGUUUGUUUUGGACUUCCUUUGAGGCACACUGACACCUUUAAUAUACAAGACAAAUAAUGAUACAUUAUAUAAAAGGUUUUAUGCUCUUUCAGCUCUAAAACUGGACGCACAUACUUGUCUUUUCUUGUUAUUCAGGAGAGUUCUGUGCUUUUUCCAGGCAGCAUGGUUUAGUCCCAGGAGGUGGAAAGUGAAUCUUUGGAGGCUUUUAAGAAGUGCACGACCUCCUAUGGUAGAUUUUUAUUUUUCCAAGCUUCGCUGUGUUUUGUUGCCUUGUUAAUCGUGAGGGCCAACGGGGGCCAAGGUACUGCGGGUGAAUCUGGAAUGAGUCCGGCCAUUUCAUUGCAUUCAGCUGAGAAAAGCUGUGGGAUUUAGUGCUCCUCGAGAAAAAUAGCAAACUCUCCAGAGAGCUGGACCUGGAUGCUCGAAACCUUUGGCUGUGAGCAGCAUUUUGAUUUGGGGGGGAAAAGCUUUAGCCCCCGGUUGUGUUUUGUUAUCUAGUGCUGUGUUGUGUUGGGGCUGUUUACUAUGCAGCAUGUGCUCUGUGUGGACACCAGAAUCAAGGUGGUCUGUUGUGAAAAGCACAAGGCUCAAUACAGUAUCUGUCUGAGUGUUGGAGUGGAUCC